rnacentral:rRNA from 1 species
GAUGAACGCUAGCUACAGGCUUAACACAUGCAAGUCGAGGGGCAGCAUGAACAUAGCUUGCUAUGUUUGAUGGCGACCGGCGCACGGGUGCGUAACACGUAUCCAAUCUGCCCGUCACUCGGGGAUAGCCUUCUGAAAGGAAGAUUAAUACCCGAUGGCAUGCAUUUCCGGCAUCGGAGAUGCAUUAAAGAAAUUCGGAAACGGAUAGGCUCGCGUGACAUUAGCUAGACGGCGGGGUAACGGCCCACCGUGGCAACGAUGUCUAGGGGUUCUGAGAGGAAGGUCCCCCACACUGGAACUGAGACACGGUCCAGACUCCUACGGGAGGCAGCAGUGAGGAAUAUUGGUCAAUGGAGGCAACUCUGAACCAGCCAAGUAGCGUGCAGGACGACGGCCCUAUGGGUUGUAAACUGCUUUUAUGCGGGGAUAAAUGAUCCUACGUGUAGGAUUUUGCAGGUACCGCAUGAAUAAGGACCGGCUAAUUCCG